rnacentral:other from 1 species
AACACCCUGCGAUGUACGUGGUCUGCACUAUUUUGAGCCUACACUUAUUCUACGGGAAUGCGCUCGGAACGCUGUGAGCAUGCCGGCUUUGGCGCCUGAUACGCCAUCGUCGGAAGCCUGUGAAGCGGCUCCGGCAAAAACCCACCUAACUUCGGUUAGGGAUCAAAGUGUGCAUUUCACGGCAUCUGCGGGGCUUUU